rnacentral:rRNA from 1 species
GUAGGUGGCAAGCGUUAUCCGGAAUUAUUGGGCGUAAAGCGCGCGCAGGCGGUUCUUUAAGUCUGAUGUGAAAGCCCACGGCUCAACCGUGGAGGGUCAUUGGAAACUGGAGAACUUGAGUACAGAAGAGGAAAGCGGAAUUCCACGUGUAGCGGUGAAAUGCGUAGAGAUGUGGAGGAACACCAGUGGCGAAGGCGGCUUUCUGGUCUGUAACUGGCGCUGAGGCGCGAAAGCGUGGGGAGCAAACAGGAUUAGAUACCCUGGUAGUCCACGCCGUAAACGAUGAGUGCUAAGUGUUAGGGGGUUUUCCGCCCCCCUUAGUGCUGCAGCUAACGCAUUAAGCACUCCGCCCUGGGAGUACGGCCGCAAGGCUG